AAGUCAGCCGCCCGCUUGCUGCGGCCGCCGUGCUCACCUGCCCGAGGUGAUGGAGAACGGAGCGGUGUACAGUCCCACUACCGAGGAGGACCCGGGCCCCGCCAGAGGCCCCCGGAGCGGCCUCGCUGCCUACUUCUUCCUGGGUCGGCUCCCACGGCUCCGGCGCGUUCUCAAGGGCUUGAAGCUGUUGCUCUCUCUGCUGGCCUUCAUCUGUGAAGAAGUUGUAUCACAAUGUACUUUGUGGGGGACUUUAUUUUUUUUUUGAGUUUGUAAGCGACAGUGCCUUUCUUCUGAGUCUCCUUAUACUGAUUGUGUAUUACACUCCAUUUUAUGAGAGUUGAUACCACAAAAGUAAAAUCAUCAUAUUUUUAUAUUACUUUGGGAACAGGAUGUGUGUUUUUGUUGGCAUCCAAGAUUUUUGUUUCCACACAUGACAGGACUUCAGCUGAAAUUGCUGCAGUUGUGUUUGGAUUUAUAGCAAGUUUUAUGUUCCUACUUGACUUUGUCACUAUGCUGUAUGAAAAACGACAGGAGUCCCAGCUGAGAAGACCUGAAAAUAGCACUAGGGCUGAGGCUCUCACUGAACCACUUAAUGCCUAAAGACUCUGGGGAGCAGAUGUUAACUAAGGUAGUGACUCUGCACUGUGGUGCCUGAGCCCUGGCAGAAGCUCUUGUAAAAUUUGUGUAAUUGUUUAAACCACUUCUUUUGGAGAGCAAGAGGAAAGUCAAGAAGGCAGUUUUAUCAAUAUUGUGUCAGUCACCACAAAUUAGGCCAGAUAAGUUUCAAAAAUUUUUUUGAAGAUGAUUGAAACUUAUCUUAAAUGGAGAUUUUGGUGGGAGGAGGAGAGAACAAUUGUUUUUUAAAUUACACAGCUCAACGGUUCAUAAAUGAUUCUGUCAUUCUGUUACAAGUCAUUCUUUUACUAGGCUUAGCUUCCAAAUUAUGCUUUAUAGCUGUAUAAACAUCAUGAUUAUAUUCAUCUACUUAGAAAUUGUUUUAUUUUAAAAUUAAUUUGCUUAGCUGUUUGUUUUGAUGCUUAGAUUAUGUUGUGUUAAUG